rnacentral:rRNA from 1 species
CCUGACGCAGCGACGCCGCGUGAGUGAGGAAGGCCUUCGGGUCGUAAAGCUCUGUCAAGAGGAAAGAAGUGCAUAAUGGUUAAUACCUGUUAUGUUUGACGGUACCUCCAAAGGAAGCACCGGCUAACUCCGUGCCAGCAGCCGCGGUAAUACGGAGGGUGCAAGCGUUGUUCGGAACUAUUGGGCGUAAAGCGCGUGCAGGCGGUUUUUUAAGUCUGAUGUGAAAGCCCCGGGCUUAACCUGGGAAGUGCAUUGGAAACUGGGAAACUUGAGUACGGGAGAGGGAAGUGGAAUUUCGAGUGUAGGGGUGAAAUCCGUAGAUAUUCGAAGGAACACCGGUGGCGAAGGCGGCUUCCUGGACCGAUACUGACGCUGAGACGCGAAAGCGUGGGGAGCAAACAGGAUUAGAUACCCUGGUAGUCCACGCCGUAAACGAUGGGUACUAGGUGUUGCGGGUAUUGACCCCUGCAGUGCCGAAGCUAACGCAUUAAGUACCCCGCCUGGGGAGUACGGCCGCAAGGCUAAAACUCAAAGGAAUUGACGG